rnacentral:lncRNA from 10 species
AUUUUCACAAACUGAACAUAGCUGUACCCAGCACUAAGAAAGAAAUGGCAACUAUUGUAACAUCCCAAAAGCUCCCCUUGUGCCUUUUCCGGUCAUUGUCUUUUCAGGAGUUGCCACUAUCCUAAUUCUAACACCAUAGCUUCGUUUUGUCUGAGACUACGUUCCUUUUAAUAUAACUGAACUGUUUAAUUCAUCUGAGAAUUCUACCUAUGAUGAAAAAUGUUGUGGUGGUAGCAUUUGGGUUAAUUCUGAUUAUAGAGUCUCUUGGAGAGCAAUGUCCAUAAACUAAUCCCAAACAACAUUGUCUUUUUGAUGUUGUAGUGAACAGCAGAGAAUUUCAAAGGACCUUGCUAAUAUCUGUAAGACGGCAGCUACAGCAGGCAUCAUUGGCUGGGUGUAUGGGGGAAUACCAGCUUUUAUUCAUGCUAAACAACAAUACAUUGAGCAGAGCCAGGCAGAAAUUUAUCAUAACCGGUUUGAUGCUGUGCACAGUGAACACUAGUCUGAAUGUAUACCGAAAUAAAGAUGCCUUAAGCCAUUUUGUAAUUGCAGGAGCUGUCACGGGAAGUCUUUUUAGGAUAAACGUAGGCCUGCGUGGCCUGGUGGCUGGUGGCAUAAUUGGAGCCUUGCUGGG